rnacentral:tRNA from 1 species
AGUGUGGCUCAAUUGGUAGAGCAGCUGAUUUGUAAUCAGCAGGUUGCGGGUUCAAGUCCCGCCGCU